AUUGAACGCUGGCGGAAUGCUUUACACAUGCAAGUCGAACGGCAGCACGGACUUCGGUCUGGUGGCGAGUGGCGAACGGGUGAGUAAUAUAUCGGAACGUAUCCAAUAAUGGGGGAUAACUAAUCGAAAGGUUGGCUAAUACCGCAUACGUCCUACGGGAGAAAGCUAGGGACCUUCGGGCCUGGCGUUAAUGGAGCGGCCGAUAUCGGAUUAACUAGUUGGUGAGGUAAAGGCUCACCAAGGCGACGAUCCGUAGCUGGUCUGAGAGGACGACCAACCACACCGGAACUGAGACACGGUCCAGACUCCUACGGGAGGAAGCAGUGGGGAAUUUUGGACAAUGGGCGAAAGCCUGAUCCAGCCAUUCCGCGUGAGUGAAGAAGGCCUUCGGGUUGUAAAGCUCUUUCGCAAGAGAAGAAAACUUACCCUCUAACAUAGGGUGGGGUUGACGGUAUCUUGAUAAGAAGCACCGGCUAACUACGUGCCAGCAGCCGCGGUAA
rnacentral:rRNA from 1 species